UUUUUUUUUUUUGUUUUUUCCUUUCAAAACAUUAAAUAUUUUAUUCACGUCUUGAUUUUAUGAUUUCUGGUAAGUCCACUGUAACUCUUAUCCUUUUUCCUCUACAGGUAGGGUAAAUUCCCUGUGGCUCCUUUCAAAUUAUCUGGUUGUCUUUGUUUUUGUUUUUUUGUUUUUGUUUUUAUUUUUGUUUUUUUUUGCAGUUUGAAUAGAAUAUUUUACAUGUAUUAGUAACCUGUUGUAUCUGUAACAAUUAGUACCAAUUUAGUGUCUUAAAACAACACAGAUUUAUUAUAAUUUUCAAAGUCAGAAGUUUGAAACAGGCUUGAGUUAGCUAAAAUCAAGAUAUUGUCAGGGCUGGGUUCCUUCUGGAAGCUCUAGUGGAAAAUCUUUUUGGUUGCCUUUUAUGAUCUAUUAUUUCUAGAAGCAGCCUGCAUUCUUUGGCUUAUGGUCCCGUUCCCAUCUUUAAAGGCAGAAGUUUAGCACUUCUCAUUAGCACUCUGAUGCUGACACUCUGCUUUUGUCCUCACGUUGCUUCUCUGACUUUUUAAAGGACACUUAUGGUUAUGUUGGGUCCACCCAAUUAUCCAGAAUAAUUUCUGUAUCUCAACUUUUUUAUCUUAUGUUUGAGAAGCUUAUCUUGCCAUAUAAAGUGACAUGUACAGGCUUGAGAUACUAGGAGAUGGACUGCUUUGGUGAGGUAGCAUUCAUCUGUCUACUUCAGACAAAUGGAAAAUAACAAAUGUUGGGGAGAAUGGGGAGGAACUGGAACACUUGUGCAUUACUGAUAGGAAUGUAAAAUGGUGCAGCCACUAUGGAAAAGAGCUUGGCAGUUGCUCAAAAAGUUAAACAUGGAAUUAUCAUAUAACUUAGCAAUUCCAUUCAUAGGCAUAUACCCAAGAAAUGUUAAACAAGUACCAAAAAAAUACUUAUAUAUGGGUGAUCACAGUAGAACUAUUCACAAUAACCAGUAGGUAGAAACUAACCAAAUGUCCAUAAACAAAUGAAUGAACAAACUUGAUAUGUGUAUACUAUGUAAUAUUAUUCAGCUGUAAAAAGGAAUGAAGUACAGAUAUAUGAUACAGUGCUACAAUGUGAAUGAACCUCAAAAACUCUGAUAUAAGAAAAUAGACACAAAAUGUCACACAUUGUAUGAAUUCAUUUACAUGAAAUAUUCAGAACAUAUAAAUCCUUUUUUUUUUUUUUUUCUGUCUUUUUGCUAUUUCUUGGGCCGCUCCUGCGGCAUAUGGAGGUUCCCAGGCUAGGGGUUGAAUCGGAGCUGUAGCCACCGGCCUACGCCAGAGCCACAGCAACGCGGGAUCCAAGCCGCGUCUGCAACCUACACCACAGCUCACGGCAACGCCGGAUCGUUAACCCACUGAGCAAGGGCAGGGACCGAACCCGCAACCUCAUGGUUCCUAGUCGGAUUCGUUAACCACUGCGCCACGACGGGAACUCCAGAUAAAUCCAUAUUGACAGAAAGCAAAUGGGUGGUUGUCAUGGGUACUGGUGAACUGCUUACACUGUUCACAUAUUAUUGUGGGACUUUGAAAGUGUUUGAACUUAACAGAGAUGGUAGUUUUACAGUAUUGUGAAUGUACAAAAUGCAGCUGAAUCCUUCAUAUAAAGUGAUUAAUUUACAUUCUAUGAAUUUUACUCUACUUUAAAAGAAUAAUGUUAUUUUAGUAUUAAAAGACGAGAAAAGUGAAGUGCAAAUAAGUAACUGUGAUGGUUAGUUUUAUGUGUCAACUUAUCUGGUGGUCAAUUUUGCCUCUUCCAAUAAGUUGAAGGUUUAAAUAAAACAAAAGGCUGACUUUCCCUCUAAACAAGAGAGGACUGUCUGGAAGAUUACCUUUAAAUUCCAUCUACAACAGUGCUUCUUCCUGAUUUGUUUUUUAGAAUGUUUUAGCUUUAAAAAAACUUACAUGAGAUUUUCAUGAAAUAUGUAUAUAUGUGUAAUCUUUAAAAAGCAUGGGAAAGAAAAUUAUAUAUAAAAUAUAAAUUGAUAUAGAAAACAUCUGCUGCUUAAAGUAUAGACCAUGAAUCCACAUUUGAUUAAAGUUUUUCAGUUUCAGUUUUAGCUCUAAAAUUUCCCAGAAACAGAAUGUAUAUUUCUAAAGUAAUCUUCUAUAAAGGUAAACACAAACACACACAUGUACUCUCACCACACAUGUGCUCACACACACACAUUUUUUAGAGGAGAGAACUUAUCUCUUUAGAAAUUAUAUCAAAGAACUAAUCUUUUAGAACUUAAGAAAUUAGAAUUUAGCUAUCUAUACCUGUUAUUUUUUUUAAAAAAAAAGGUCAAUGGAUUAAAUAUCAGUGAAUUUAACAUCCAUGACUGAAAAUAUUAUUUAGUUUACUUGAAAAAUAAAUAUAUUAUUCAUGUGUGAGCUUGGGCUUCAUUGUAUAUUUUUGUUCUUUUAAACACUGAAAAUCUAUCUAGGCAAAUGUCUAUAUCAAAAGUUAGAUAAUCUCUAAAAGAUUAAUAACAGAUGGACUAGAAAAUGUUUCUGGCUCAAAUAUUAUUUUGUGGUAUUUAAAAAUAUAUACAGAUUCAAAAUUCUGAUUAUUAUCUAACAAUUAUUUAAUCAUUUCACCUUAAAGUAUAUAAAUAAUUUAAACUUGUUGAGCCUAGGGAAUUCCUUUUCUAAAAAAUUAGAAUAGUUUUAUUUCAAAGAGUGCUUAUAGAUAUUAGAUAUAACAUCUAAUAUAAAGAAAUAGCAACAUAAUUUAUUCCACAAAUAAGAUCUUUAAGUCAAUUUUAUAAUAUAUAGAGAUAUGGAUUUGCAUGUAUAUUAAUAUUAUAAGUG
rnacentral:lncRNA from 1 species